rnacentral:misc_RNA from 1 species
GAUUCUUUGGAUGUGCGCUCCGGCUGCACUCCAAAAACCCAUCUCACACCGUGCGCCUCGAGCGGGGAGGCCCGCUCGCCUUUACACAUCACACAAGUAAACCAGAAUGUCAAAUACCAUAAAUUAAUACAACUUUCAACAACGGAUCUCUUGGUUCU